ensembl:lncRNA
UGGAUGCUGUUCCACAAAGAUGCAUAUCAUUCAGAACAGGCACCAAACCCUGUCAAGCAUGAGUCAAAAUUACACCCAAACAUUAUGUGCCAGACAAUGUUUUGUUUGCAAAAUUUUUCCUCAAAAUCAGUGAAGAAGCUCUUUGGAAUAUUUUCACAUUGAGUAUAAGGUCGUGGCUGCAGCUAAUAUUUGCUAUGCGAUUGCUAAACUUAAAGCAACAUACAAUGUUGGAAUUCAGAUAUCUGAUUAAAACUAACAACUUGCAAGUUUUGCUUUUCUGUGCUAUACAUUUCAACCAAAUCAAAUUUCUAAUGAAAUGCUUUUUUUCUUCUUUAUAAAAUUUCUUUAUAAAUCAAGUAAAACACUUUAUCUGAACCCUGAGUCAGGACACCGGUCAUGUGCGAGGUCAUAAGCUGACAUAACAGUUGAUGUCCAGUAAAUAGAACAAUAUUGUGUUCAUAUUAUCAGUAAUUUUCAUGAUAGUCGUCGCAUUAUGAUGUUAUGACAGCUUGUCACAUGCAAAUUUUUGCUGUGUUAUUUUAGCAGAUGGCUUAAGACGCAAAUGGCUUAAGAUGUGUAUUAACAUACUUUCUGAUAACUGCCAUAACACUGACGAUUUCACGUCUUAUGUCAUAUCAUGAAUAUCAUUAUAAGAAAAUUUAUUCUAACCAUUGUUAGAGUUCAUGUAUGGUUCAAUAUCUAUCAAUACUAUUCUAACAUUAAAAUAUUACCAUAAACUUCCUAAAAAUAGUGUGUGCUUUAAUGAUACAUAAUGAGAUGUUACUCAUUCAUUGUAUUACUUUUGUAUAGUUGACGUUUCUUUUCUAAAUCUCUUACCUUAAUAUCCUUUAUAUUAAAAUUAAACAUAUUUAUAUUAUUUUUAAUAUUCAACAAGAUACCUCAUUAGUAAUGUUUGAUUAGAAACUAUUUAACACUAUGACAGACACAUAACUCAUUAAUUACAUUUUUGUAUAAAGCAAUCCUUUAAAGGGGACCUAUUAUGCAAAAUUCACAUUUAAAUGGUGUUUGAACAUAAAUCUGUGUCAGCAGUGUAUACACAACCACCCUACAAUGGUAAAAAUCCACCCACUCCUUUCUUAAUAUUCCCAAUAAAUCAUAAACAGUGUCUCAAAAUAAGCCGUUUUCAUAUUCGCACUAACAUGACGUCAUGUUGGAACAAGCCCCGCCCAGGGACUCUGUCCUAUUAGCAUAGAUCCCCAACUGAGUGGGCUGUACAAAGUCCACCAUGUUCUCUGUGCUGGAGCAGCUACAAUGAACAGAAGAAUGUCUCGGCUUCGUAAGUGUUCUGUUGCUGGCUGUAAGAAUGAACAUAAGACUCUUCAUGUACUCCCGGCAUCAGAGCCACUAAAGAUGCAGUGGCGAAGUUUCAUUUUAAAGGCAGUGUGGCCCAAAAAUACCUUAAAUCAUUUUACACCAGACAGCUUUGUGAACAGGGAUCAAUAAAAAGCAGGAUUUGCUUAAAACUUCAUUCUCAAGCAUUGAUCAGUACCAACUGUUCGUGAUCCAGCUUCAUAUCCAGAACACGUAGGUAUCGUACCUUAUAUUUUAUGAAUGUUUGCAAAUCGCCUUUCUGAAUGAGUGUGUUAGCAGAUUCCACGGCCAAUGCAGCUAAGGUUACCAUUGCAGACCAAAGCUAUGUCGUUGUUUUUAUUUUUAAACUGAAACUAUUAUGCACAAUACAGCAAGGUGAUUGUCUUUUUGAAAACUGUGUAAGUUUUGGGUGAAUAAUUUUACACCAGGCUGCUUUGUGAACGAGCUUGUUAGUAGAUACCAAGGCUAAUGUAGUAUAAAAAGCACAAGCUGUUCUCUUCCGGAAGGGGGCAGGGAGCAGCAGCUCAUUUGCAUUUAAUGAGACACACACCAAAAUAGCAUGUUUUUGCUUCCACCCAAAAAUUGGCAUUUUCAGCAUGAUAUAUUAAAUGAUAUGUGGGGUAUUUUGAGCUGAAACUUCACAGACACAUUCUGGGGACACCUGAGACUUAGAUUACAUCUUGUAAAAAGGUUUAAAAUAGGCCUCCUUUAACUCUUUGUAACUCUCACAACACUCUAUGACAGACACAUAACACAAUGAUGACAUUUUUUUUAUAGCUAAAGCAGAGAAAGGCACUUUUAACUAUCCUGACAUUAUAUGAGAGACAGGUGACACAAUAAUGACAUCUUCUCUACAGUUAAUAGGACUGGUUGAUGAGAUGAUAUCUAUGAUAACACAUAAUCAGUGCUAAUCCAUUUGGGGAACGAAUAUGGACAUAGGGAGGUGUUAUUUGAGACUUUUACAAAACAGGCUAUUAUAACCAAAAAUCAUAUUCACAUUCUAAGUUACUUUUCAUACAAAGAAGAAAUGUUAGAGCAGCCUACCUUUUCCUAAUUUAUAAUUAUAAAUUAUAAAUAUGAUUGGUGUUGGCUUCCAAAAAUUAAGAAAGGCAGCAGGCAGCUUAAAUAAAUUCCUCCCUAAGUGAUUGCAUAUGAGAAAGAUAAUAAAUGUGUGAGGGAACAAGGAAGAGAGCAGGACAGAUAAAAACAGGAAACCAGCAUUCCAUCUAGGGUGUAAUAUCCCAUCUUGCUCCUAGUGUUCCCAGGAUAGGCUCUGGAUCCACCAUGACAACGAAGAAGUGCUUAUUGGAGAUGGACAGAUGAAUGAAUGACUGAAUAAAUAAACAUUAACAAAUCAUGUCAAAGUCAAAGUAAUGUUUUAAAGUCAAGUAAUGUUUUAAGCAAUAGCUUUUAAGCUUUAAUGUCACAGACCUUACUGCAUAAAUAAGAGAAAAUUAUGAUGGCAAAGGAUUUUAGUUGGGUUCAACACAGUGAUUUUCAUGAAUUGACAUGAAUAUUGACAUUAUAUCAUCAAUAUUAGGAUAGUUGUCACACAGUAUGUGUAAUAGCAUCGGUCAUAAGCCUUAUGCUUACUAGAGCACAAAUUAGCAUAUGACAUCCAACAUUAUGAUAAUUCCUGAAAAAAAUAACAUUUUUGUUACUGCUAUGACAGCAUAUGACAUCAGGCAUGACAGAUGAAUGACAUGGCUAUAUCUGUAUUAUAGGGGUUUAAUUAAAGCAUGACCAAAAUGGGAAAAUCUCAAGUCUCAAAGAAAAACAUAUCAUCAUUAUGGAAAUCCUAGUACAUGUAAUGUAAUAUAAUACCUGUGAUACCUGCACACUUUGCUUUUCUCUUCAAUUCUAACAUUAUAUAAGCUUUGAAGCUUCAUAUUUCAUUUGGUUCAAGCAUAAUUAAAAAUUCCUAAAACUUAAAAUAAGGUAUUUCUUAUUAUUAUUUCAGAGAAACUAUGAGCACAGCUCACUUUCUUUCAUUUCAUGAGUGAACUAACAUCAAGCAUGUGCUGAUAAAGGAGAUUGACAAGAUGAUGGAUUACUAAUGGAUUCCUGAAAAUAACUGACAUAAAUGAUUGCCUAAAACAGAUUGACUGGAUUCUUUAAGAAAGAAACAGACCAUUGCCAUAAAAUUUUCUGGAUAUUUGAUACAAGCAUGCUCCCUAAAGUACAUCACCAGAGUACACAAACAUCUCACUACACUAUAAUCCAAAAACAACAACAAAACAAAACCUUUCCAUCUUAAAGGGUCUUUGCUUUGUUUUUAGUGUAAUUCUUGAAGAUCUAUGGGAUCUAUGAACAAAGCCUUCUUUUAAAAGAUUUACUUUACAUGGAUGGUCGUGCUUUGUCUUUAAAUGUAGAAUUGUGAUUUAAAUGUUGUCUUCAGAAUUCUGAAUAAUUAACCAUGAUUAUUAAACUCAAAAAUGAAAUUAUGUUCUGAUAAUUUUGGACUGUUGAAUCCAAAAAUAUAAGAACCUGCAAUUUUUUCUCUCCGUGACAGUCUAGGGCUUUUUAUUUGCAUGAUCAUUAUUUCAAUGUCUGGGUUUCAGAGGAGAGGAAAGCCAUAUCUGUGUUUCAGAGGAGACAGAGCCAGUGCCAAAAUUGAGCAAGUUCUGGUAUUUAGUUAUAUGCACCAUGAUUCAUUCUAUGACUUUAUCCAUUUAAUCCAGCACAAAAUCCCACUUCAUCCAGGACCCAGGCCUUUUCUCUCUCGCCAGGUUGCUCUCUGUGCCAUUUUCUGUUUACCUGCUACUGUAUGCCCUUCUCCCUUUCACUCUCUCUCUAUCUCUCUCGGUGGAAGCAGAAGUACCACUGUAGACCUCGGCUUUGGCAAUGUGAAGACAAGCCCUUAGGAGAAUAAGGGGGCAUUUGCAUAAACAAGAGAUCAACAGCUCUGUCCGUUUUCCCUCCCUCUCGGUCUUCCUCCUUCUCUGCAGCAUGUGGCUUUAUUAUCAUACACUUUUAUUGCAGCAUAAUUUUGUCUUGUUGUAAAUCAAUGAAACCUCAAUGCCGUCCACAGGGAUGUAAAUGUGUGCAAGAGAGGAGUAAUAAUCAAAUAAGACAGACACUGUUCAGUCCUGUUUUCCACAACACAGAAAGGAUCUGCAUGUAAAUAUAACCACCACCAGUCCAUUAAUCCAUGCUCCCUCCUGAAAUCCUUCAAGGGCUGAGAAUAAAGAUCCAUUACUGGAAUAAUGCUGUGCAGAGCUGGUUACACAACACACACACAUACACAAAACGGGAAGGUUAAUUCACAUCUCACCCACAGUCUCAACCUUGGAUUAAGCCUGCUUUGUUUAUACCGUUGCUCAUCAGUGUAUUUGUUCACAGCUGUUAACCAGCAAAAGUUUGAAAGUCAUAACCUCUGAACAACAUUCUGUCAUUCUAUGCCAGUACAUUCACAAGAGUCUUUUCAAACUGCUACAAUCUAAUAUUGUUUGCACGUGUUCGCAUAAGCGUCAUUGAUUAUUAGUGACACCAUUCAAUCCUAUAUAAAGGGGUAAAAACCAAGAGGAAGACGAUUUUAUGAUCAAAUUAUUUGGUAUAUAGGAUUGCCACUGUAAGUGAUAUUUUCUGUGAUUUUCCAGCAAAAUUGUCCCUACUGAGGGUACUUCCUGAGACAGAUGUGUUGUGUUAGAGUUGCAAUCAAAAUUAUUCAACCCCUGUUGCAAAUCAGGUUUAUUGUCAAAAUUUAUAGACUUUCAGCUGUUUGCAAUGAACAAAUCAAACAAAAGCAAUUGAAAUAGUUCAACAAAACAUAUGCUUCAAUUGCUUUCCCCAAAUUCAACUGAAAAUGCAGCUUAUAAUGAUUUCUCCACUUUUAAAAUUACUCAACCCCUUCAUGGCAAGCAUCUUUAGUAUUUAACAGAGCACCCUUUUGCUGUUAUGACCUGCUGCAAAUGAGACACAUAGCUUCUGGCAGCGUUCCUGAGGAAUCUUAGCCCAUUUCUCAUGAGCAAUGACCUCCAGUUAAGUAAUAUUCUUUUGUCUGCUGCAACUGCGUUCUUCAAAACGCAGGGGUUCAAGUCAGGUGACUGUGAUGGCCCUGUAGAAUCUUCCAGGACUUCUUCUGCCACCAACCCUUGGUGGAAUUUGAGGUAUGCUUGGGAUCAUUGUCCUGUUGGAAGUUCCAAUGAUGCCCAAACUUCAGCUUCCUCACAGAUGGCAUGACGUUUUCUCCUAGGAUUUACUUCAAUGAAUCCAUCUUGCCUUCCACACACUGCAGGGUUCCAGUGCCAGAGAAUGCAAAGUAGCCCCAGAGCAUCACCGAGCCACCACCAUGUUUGACUGUGGACAGAGUGUUCUUUCUUCAUUCUUCUUCCUCCAGACAUACCGCUGAUCCAUUGUGCCAAAAAGUUCCAGUUUUUUUUCAUUGCUCCACAGAACAGAAUCCUAAAACUUCUGUCGCUUAUUUCUAUGAUUUUGAGCCGAGUUUUCUUGUGCUUUUGGGUCAGUAAUGGUACACGUCUUUGAAUUCUGACAUGGAAACCUUCUACAUUUAGUAUGCCACCAAGUCUUUCUGUAGGUCUUUCAUAUACUUUCUACCCCUAGCCAGUUCAGGUAUUUCAUGUGUUCCAGCUCAAGCACACCUGGGGCAACUAAUGAAGCCCUUGAUUAGUUGCAUCAGGUGUGCUUGAGACAACACCUGUUUUGCAUAUUUGUGCUGUUGUGAGAGAUUCUAUUCAGGGGGUUGAAUAAUUAUGAAACUGGAGAAAUCAUAAGUUGCAGUUUCAGUUGAAUUUGGGGGAAACACUUGAAGCAUUCGUUGUGUUUAACUAUUUCAAUUACUUUUGUUUGAUUUUUUUCAUGGCAAACAGCUGAAAGUCUGUACAUUUUGACAAUAAACCUGAUUUGCAGUGGGGGUUGAAUUUUUAUUGCAACUGCAUAUCUGUGUUUCACUAUACAUGUAGUGAAUCAUUACUGAUUUAAUGGAUGGUAAGAACACCUAAGGGGGUCAACUACUGUGGAUACAAG